CUGACGGUACCUGAAGAAUAAGCAUCGGCUAACUCCGUGCCAGCAGCCGCGGUAAUACGGAGGAUGCAAGCGUUAUCCGGAAUCAUUGGGCGUAAAGCGUCCGCAGGUGGCAARUCAAGUCUGCUGUUAAAGACMGAAGCUCAACUUCUGAUAGGCAGUGGAAACUGGUUUGCUWGAGUAUGGUAGGGGUUGAGGGAAUUCCCAGUGUAGCGGUGAAAUGCGUAGAUAUUGGGAAGAACACCAGUGGCGAAGGCGCUCAACUGGGCCAUAACUGACACUCAGGGACGAAAG
rnacentral:rRNA from 1 species